GAUGAACGCUGGCGGCGUGCCUAAUACAUGCAAGUCGAACGAGUUCUCGUUGAUGAUCGGUGCUUGCACCGAGAUUCAACAUGGAACGAGUGGCGGACGGGUGAGUAACACGUGGGUAACCUGCCCUUAAGUGGGGGAUAACAUUUGGAAACAGAUGCUAAUACCGCAUAGAUCCAAGAACCGCAUGGUUCUUGGCUGAAAGAUGGCGUAAGCUAUCGCUUUUGGAUGGACCCGCGGCGUAUUAGCUAGUUGGUGAGGUAAUGGCUCACCAAGGCGAUGAUACGUAGCCGAACUGAGAGGUUGAUCGGCCACAUUGGGACUGAGACACGGCCCAAACUCCUACGGGAGGCAGCAGUAGGGAAUCUUCCACAAUGGACGCAAGUCUGAUGGAGCAACGCCGCGUGAGUGAAGAAGGCUUUCGGGUCGUAAAACUCUGUUGUUGGAGAAGAAUGGUCGGCAGAGUAACUGUUGUCGGCGUGACGGUAUCCAACCAGAAAGCCACGGCUAACUACGUGCCAGCAGCCGCGGUAAUACGUAGGUGGCAAGCGUUAUCCGGAUUUAUUGGGCGUAAAGCGAGCGCAGGCGGUUUUUUAAGUCUGAUGUGAAAGCCCUCGGCUUAACCGAGGAAGCGCAUCGGAAACUGGGAAACUUGAGUGCAGAAGAGGACAGUGGAACUCCAUGUGUAGCGGUGAAAUGCGUAGAUAUAUGGAAGAACACCAGUGGCGAAGGCGGCUGUCUGGUCUGUAACUGACGCUGAGGCUCGAAAGCAUGGGUAGCGAACAGGAUUAGAUACCCUGGUAGUCCAUGCCGUAAACGAUGAAUGCUAGGUGUUGGAGGGUUUCCGCCCUUCAGUGCCGCAGCUAACGCAUUAAGCAUUCCGCCUGGGGAGUACGACCGCAAGGUUGAAACUCAAAGGAAUUGACGGGGGCCCGCACAAGCGGUGGAGCAUGUGGUUUAAUUCGAAGCAACGCGAAGAACCUUACCAGGUCUUGACAUCUUUUGAUCACUUGAGAGAUCAGGUUUCCCCUUCGGGGGCAAAAUGACAGGUGGUGCAUGGUUGUCGUCAGCUCGUGUCGUGAGAUGUUGGGUUAAGUCCCGCAACGAGCGCAACCCUUAUGACUAGUUGCCAGCAUUUAGUUGGGCACUCUAGUAAGACUGCCGGUGACAAACCGGAGGAAGGUGGGGAUGACGUCAAAUCAUCAUGCCCCUUAUGACCUGGGCUACACACGCGCUACAAUGGAUGGUACAACGAGUUGCGAGACCGCGAGGUCAAGCUAAUCUCUUAAAGCCAUUCUCAGUUCGGACUGUAGGCUGCAACUCGCCUACACGAAGUCGGAAUCGCUAGUAAUCGCGGAUCAGCACGCCGCGGUGAAUACGUUCCCGGGCCUUGUACACACCGCCCGUCACACCAUGAGAGUUUGUAACACCCGAAGCCGGUGGCGUAACCCUUUUAGGGAGCGAGCCGUCUAAGGUGGGACAAAUGAUUAGGGUG
rnacentral:rRNA from 2 species